rnacentral:rRNA from 2 species
UUUUAUGGAGAGUUUGAUCCUGGCUCAGGAUGAACGCUGGCGGCGUGCCUAAUACAUGCAAGUCGAGCGAACGGACGAGAAGCUUGCUUCUCUGAUGUUAGCGGCGGACGGGUGAGUAACACGUGGAUAACCUACCUAUAAGACUGGGAUAACUUCGGGAAACCGUAGCUAAUACCGGAUAAUAUUUUGAACCGCAUGGUUCAAAAGUGAAAGACGGUCUUGCUGUCACUUAUAGAUGGAUCCGCGCUGCAUUAGCUAGUUGGUAAGGUAACGGCUUACCAAGGCAACGAUGCAUAGCCGACCUGAGAGGGUGAUCGGCCACACUGGAACUGAGACACGGUCCAGACUCCUACGGGAGGCAGCAGUAGGGAAUCUUCCGCAAUGGGCGAAAGCCUGACGGAGCAACGCCGCGUGAGUGAUGAAGGUCUUCGGAUCGUAAAACUCUGUUAUUAGGGAAGAACAUAUGUGUAAGUAACUGUGCACAUCUUGACGGUACCUAAUCAGAAAGCCACGGCUAACUACGUGCCAGCAGCCGCGGUAAUACGUAGGUGGCAAGCGUUAUCCGGAAUUAUUGGGCGUAAAGCGCGCGUAGGCGGUUUUUUAAGUCUGAUGUGAAAGCCCACGGCUCAACCGUGGAGGGUCAUUGGAAACUGGAAAACUUGAGUGCAGAAGAGGAAAGUGGAAUUCCAUGUGUAGCGGUGAAAUGCGCAGAGAUAUGGAGGAACACCAGUGGCGAAGGCGACUUUCUGGUCUGUAACUGACGCUGAUGUGCGAAAGCGUGGGGAUCAAACAGGAUUAGAUACCCUGGUAGUCCACGCCGUAAACGAUGAGUGCUAAGUGUUAGGGGGUUUCCGCCCCUUAGUGCUGCAGCUAACGCAUUAAGCACUCCGCCUGGGGAGUACGACCGCAAGGUUGAAACUCAAAGGAAUUGACGGGGACCCGCACAAGCGGUGGAGCAUGUGGUUUAAUUCGAAGCAACGCGAAGAACCUUACCAAAUCUUGACAUCCUUUGACAACUCUAGAGAUAGAGC